AUUGAACGCUGGCGGCAGGCCUAAUACAUGCAAGUCGAACGGUAACAUAAAAGAAGCUUGCUUCUUUUGAUGACGAGUGGCGGACGGGUGAGUAAUAUUUGGGAAACUACCUGAUAGAGGGGGACAACAGUUGGAAACGACUGCUAAUACCGCAUAUAGCCUAAGGGUGAAAGCAGCAAUGCGUCUGAUUAGCUAGUUGGUGAGGUAACGGCUCACCAAGGCGACGAUGCGUAGCCGACCUGAGAGGGUGAUCGGCCACAUUGGGACUGAGACACGGCCCAGACUCCUACGGGAGGCAGCAGUGGGGAAUAUUGCACAAUGGGGGAAACCCUGAUGCAGCAACGCCGCGUGAGUGAUGACGGUCUUCGGAUUGUAAAGCUCUGUCUUUAGGGACGAUAAUGACGGUACCUAAGGAGGAAGCCGAACGGGCUAACGUACGUGCCAGCAGCCG
rnacentral:rRNA from 1 species